CGAUGGCAGGUGGUCAGGCAUUAUUAUGGCCAUCAAAACACCCACUUGUUGAUAUUUAUUUAUUUAUUUUCAACAAGUAUCUUUGUUCUCUAAGAAUGGAGUUUCAAAAAGGGUUGUCAAGAUCAACAAAUGUUACUUCACAUGAUGCAGAGGCAGGCUUGAUUCUGGAAUGAUGAACCCACGGGGUGAUCUCUGUAACUUUCACGGUGCACUACUCAGCAUGUGGUCUUGGUUAUCACUUUGGUGGCUGGAUAGGCCUCUGGCCAUCCUGAAAACAUGUCUGCUAUAAUUAGUGCAUAUUUGAAUCAGCCAUUCUUUGGCAUUCUGGCGACUUGACUCCUCUGGAAGAGAUAAUGAGGUUUGGCUAGAUGCUUGGGGCUUUCAUCCAUUCUUCUUGAGUUGCCCUUGGCACAAAUGGCACAAGAUUUACAGUAACUGUUGGUCAGAGAGGCAAUUCCUGGUACUUCAGAGUAUUUAUUGAUCAAAAGAGUUCAUGAGGGUUCUGGACAGAUGCUCCGUAGGCCCACUGGACCACUGCUGAGUAUAUGUUCUUGGGCAAGUAUAACUUGAGAUUGUUGAAGUACAGCCUGUCUUUAAGAGUUGCCCCUUUCUGUUUCCAGCUUGUGGUUUGUUUGUUUUUUCUUUCUUUCCAGGGUCAGUAGCUUGCUUGUUAUUCCUCCGGGAGCUUGAUGUCUGUGGGUAGGAUCUUACAUGGUGAAUAUGGGAGUUUCUUCAGCAGACACUUUUCUGUCCACUUCCUUUAGUGCACUUACAACUUUUUGAACAACUUAGUCAGCCAGAGAGCUGCCACAUGCUUCCUCUGAGUUCAGUCUUCCUUCAGAGAUCUUGCAUGGUGUGAUGGGAGUCUAUAGCUCAGCUUCUUGUGCAGACAUUGUUGAGGUGAGAUACUUGGUCCACUGUAGUGACAGCAAAUCCGGAACAGAACAUAAGAAAAAGGCUAAAAAAAAAAAUAAUAGUCAGUGUCUUAUCAUUUCCCCCCUUGGGAAGUGGCAGAAGAGUGGCCAGGUAAAUAGAGUAUCAUCCCUGCAGGGUGACAUUAUCC